rnacentral:rRNA from 1 species
UACGGAGGGGGCUAGCGUUGUUCGGAAUUACUGGGCGUAAAGCGUACGUAGGCGGCUUUGUAAGUUAGAGGUGAAAGCCCGGGGCUCAACUCCGGAAUUGCCUUUAAGACUGCAGCGCUUGAAUCAUGGAGAGGUGAGUGGAAUUCCUGGUGUAGCGGUGGAAUGCGCAGAUAUCAGGAGGAACACCAAUAGCGAAGGCAUGCUCGCUGGGACGGUAAUUGACGGCAUAAGGGCGCGAAAGCGUGGGGAGCAAACAGG